GGCGCUGUCGGUCAGCGUGCCAGAGCCUGCGGGCACUGCUGGAAUAGAGGGAGCAGCUUUCCUUCCGCUCUGCUGCUUGGGUGUGACUGAGGGCUGAGCUGGAAAGCUGCUGGGUGGCUGGCUUCCUUUUCUAGGUGGACCCAGCGAAGCAGGUGGAUUGCCUGAGGAGUCCUGCAUUGCUCUGGCUGGCACCAAGUGUGGCUGGAUACCUCAGAAUUCCCAGAGCUGCUCAGCUCUAAGCCCUGUCUAUGCAUCUACAGCACCAGGAACGUCUCCAGGGAGCGGAGGUUACUAGAUUGGAGGAUGUGAGUUACAUUAAAAGGCCAGUCCCUGGGGGUUUAGGAGUGAUAGCAGAAUAAAUACUUAUAACUUGCUUUCAUGUUACAUGGCAUGGGACUUGUUCUUCCUUGCAGAUGACCUCUCCAGUGCUGCUCUGUGAUAGCUCCUAAAGCCUUGAUUUGACACUAACCUCUGGUGUGCUGUGGGCCAGCAGAUCUGCACAGCAGCAGGCCCACCAGUCUUCCUGCAGAGAGUUAAAGGAUUUUUGGAGAAGCUGAGCGAUUAAAAAACCUGCCACUCUCUUCUCUGGCAGUUCCCUGCGUUCAAAGUGUCCCUCCCUCAUCUCUGGCAUAGCUGGGCAGCAGGCUGGGGAGGCAAGAAGCACUGGUUUUAUUGUCGUUCAGAUGCUCGGGGCUGGUGAUGUUAGGUGCUGUAAGUGUAGAUUUUUUGAGAGGAGAGUUGUAGAGGAGGGAGAAGCAUCGCUAUGAAGUGAACUGGAGGUGUAGUACUUUGACAUCUUGGCACACAGGGCAGGCUGAGGAGAAAGGAGUAAGUUUAACCGAAAGAAAAUCCUCUUAAUCUGGGUGAUGUCAGUUUGUCAGUUUGGUAGCUAUGCAGCUGCAAGCCUGCUGCUGCCUGCUUUGCAAGGGGCAGACCAUUAAUUACAAGGCAUGCAGAGUGCAGCACACUUAGGGCUCUGUGGUGCUGACAAGCUGAUACCGCCCAGAAUAACUGCAGAGAGCAUGGUCAUGUCCAACACGAGGUACAUUUUAAGAACUGAAAAAACCCUGUUACCCACUGUGUCACUCUUGAAGACAACGUGGCGCACACACAUGCUGAAACCUAAACCUCCCUUGCUUUCUGCUCCCCAGUAGCUUCAUACACGUAUUCAGCUUCUCCUUAGUGUGAGCCCCAAGGCGAGUAUCAGUGCAGCACAGGGGUCGGAAGUGCUUUGGGGUUCCCUGGGCCAGCUGGAUGUGCAGCAGUCCUGUGCCUUUUGACCUGCGAAGCACUGGAGCACUUGGGUAACGUCGCUGGGCAGGGCAGAGGGGUGGAGCAGGCAUACUGUGUAUAUGCAGUGUAUAUGCAGUGUAUAUGCAGUGUAUACUGUGUGUACACAGUGUAUGGAUACCUGGCAAGGCUGAGAACCCAUUUUGGGGUGCGGAGGCAAUAUUGUGGGUCAAAGAAUGUGGGACAGAGUUAGGUAAGAGGAUGUGAGAGCACGCUUGGUAUUUGGCUGCUAAGCAGGAGGCAAGAAAGGAUUUUACUGUUUGUGGCUGGAGGGAUGGAUCAGGUUGAGAAGAAUCUGGUUGGGCUGUGGUGUAAUUGUACAAUAUAUCCAGAAUUUGCAAUUUAUCCCAGACUAGACUGGAAACGUUCUGGUAUUUUUCUGUAGUGCUUACAAGCAUCUGAUAGUGACCGUGCUGGGCACCUAACUCGCUGCCCAGAGCACUGACAAUUUGUCCCCUCUUGUUUGUCUGCCCACACCUGCAGAUUUAAUACUUCUUUCUUUUUUGGAGAAUACAGCCCUUUCCUGUCCUGUCCUGUCUCUUGUGCCAUUCUCAGGGAGACGUGGUGCAAUGAUAGCACUUCCUAGUGAGGGGCUGGUGAAUCACUUUGUUGGUGUUCAUGAAUCUCUUUUUGCUACCAGUUUCUGCACUGGUCUUAAUAUAAUUUCCAAAAGCAAAAGUAAUUUCAGGGCCUUUUCUUUUCGUUAAAGAGACAAUACUGAAAUUACCUCAUUGCAUACUGUACCCAAGCUCCCAGUGCGCUGCAGAAGAGCUCUUCCAAAUCUAUUUGUGUAGCUGAAGGUAUUGCCACCUAUCCAAUUGAUCCAAGUGCAGAGCUUGCUUGCAGCAGGGCAGGGAGAGGGAGCACAUACGUUUGUCUCACAGGCUUUGAUGGGUAGUCCAAUAACUUAGCUUAAAGUUUAAAGCUGUGCUGUGGGUCUGAUAACCUCUUGCACGGGAGCAGAAGUGCUCUGAGCUGUCAUGGCUAGGUGUGCAAAGGCUCAUCUGCUAGUAGAGAUCCUCCAAUAUUUUAUUGCCUGCCUAGGAAAUGUAACUGGUUGUUCACCUCCAUCAGCUUUGCACCUCAAGUGGUGUAAUGAAGGCAGGAAGCAGGAGUAAGUAGGUCCUUCAGAAUUUCCUUGUCCAAGGGAAGAACAGAUGGCAGGCUGUGUGGUUGUAUCAAGUCAAUGUCAAAGGUCUUUAACAUGCAUCCUCUUAUGCAUUGGCACAGAGCUCUUUCCUGGGGAAAAAGGAGUUGCACGUGGUGUGAAUAUGAUCUUGUGAAGGUAAAGGCACUUGUGGUUUAUUCUUGGCAAAGCCUGAGGCUGCUUUAAAGUCAUCUUUAUGACAGCACUAAUAUUCUGGCAACCACAGGGUCAGGGCAUUGUGUGAGAAGCACAGAGGUACCUUUGCAUGUUACCUGGUUCGAUGGGCCAAGUGUCCCUCCGUCACAGAGAUCCAACCCGUUUCUCCAACCAAGCACAGCACGAGGUCUGGCAAGCCCACCGCUGCCCUCAGAGGGUAUUUCCCCAUUGUUUUGUCUUGACUGUUACGCCUUUCCCUUUCCCUGCAAUACAUUGCUUGGUGCCGGCUGGUAUUUGUAACGUGUUCAGCAGAAUUUUAAAAUGAAACUUCUUUGGAGGAGGUCAGCGUGCCGUGUGGGACAUGGCCUGUGUGUGGGCAGCAUCUGACAGAUUCCUGUCACUGUUACCCAACAGCCUUGUCAGAAACGACAGCACCUGCCUGUGGGCUGCACUAGCACAGCGAUACCAGCCAAAAUGGGAAGCGUUAGCAGUGCUGUUUGCCCCAAGUGUUCGUAGUCCCUCCCCGCUAUGAGAGGCACAAUGUAAUUGUCUGGAUGGAUAGUUACAUGUGUUAGGAUAGUGAUACCAGAUACCAUUCAGUUCUGAGCAGUCGGAGUGUAAUGAUUAUAACAGAAAAGCAGCACAGAAGGUUGCUUUAGAGUUUUUUAGUUAUCAGUGACUUUUCUACACACAGGCCCGUAAGGAGGUAACCUAUUGUAAAAGAUGUCUCAUUCCAGAAUUAGUGCCAAAGAUCAGAUCUUCCUGAUCCAUUGCUGGGAAGGGAAGCUCUGUUCUCGCGUUUACCGUGUGCCUACGUGCUGGGGAUUUUUCUGUUUAAUUUCUCUGUGAUGGAUGAAAUCACUUGAAAUCUGUUUUUUAUAUCACAAGGUUAUUUGACUUUUUCUGCCUAUGCUGCAGCCAUUAGUGCAUGUCACGUAUGUUAUUAGCACUCCAUAGCAGUAUGUUGGUUUGUGCCUAGUAGCGAUUCUCAAAAUAGCCAUUGCUUCACCCUCUCUCUAAGUUUGUGUGCGUCCAAGCCACUGAAUUUUCCAUGUGGUCCACUGUCAGCCUCCCAUUGUAAAUUAUCUGCCCUUGUAAUCCACAGCCUAAUUUCUCUUACUCAGUUCAGUGGAACUACUGACCAUUGUGUUUAGCAAAUCAGGUUGGUGUUUUGAAUUUUAAAUGAGAAUUUCCUAGUUGCAUGAUUUGUACUUACUUUGUAAGUUUUGUAAGGCUGUUUGGUUCCCUGCUGCCCUGAUCUCAAAUCUGUGACCUUGGAAAUCAGUGGAUUUGAACGUAACUAUUUUUUCAUUUGCAGUCCCCAGAGGAUUGUAAUUACACUGUUGCCUUGUGACUGUGCUGAAUUAAGAAUCAGAGCCCAGCUGAAAUUCCCAGACCAAAGGAUAUAAUGGCUACUAGUAAACUUGGUGCAUUUUUUAUGCUUUUUUUCUAAACAAUAUUUUUUUGCGUUGCAUAUCGUCAGCAUUUUUGGAGGGAAGAAAAAUUAUUUCUUAGGUACCUAUCAAAAUUUAAGAAAAUGGUGGGUCCUCUUCCCCCUUAUGUGCACACCUUCUCCUUCCAUAUGUUUUAGUGUUCCGAUCAUCUCUUUCCAUUGUAACAGGAAAACAUUUUAUAGACAAGGGAAGGAAAAAUCCAACAAGUUUGCUCUGCCUGUAGGAGCUCUCAGUCUAAGUAUGGCAAAAUCAGCAAAUAUGAAAUGCAGGCCAAUAGUUAAGGACAAGAAGAUAGUGAAGUUACAGAUACUAAAUAAAGACAGGAUGAGAUUGUUCAAAGAGGCAGGAGGAAGGACAGAGGAUACUUGGCAAGAGAGACCUAAUGGUAUGGGUCAGCUUUACUACGAUUGAAUCUGAGUGUUAUCCCAGAUUAUGGAGUUACAGCAUCCAAAGCCCUCCCAGGGAGACAGAUCUUAGCCCAGAGGGCAGCAUGGGAUAAGGCUAAAAGCAUAGAGAAGAAAAGGAGACACACGAACAAAAGGAAUAAGAAGAGUGGAGGGAGUGAGAAAGUGAGCAGGGAGGAAGAAAAGCAAAGGGCUGGGAGCAGCCUGGGGUCAGACUGUGUAAACACAAACUGCGGUCUUGAGCAAAGUCAAAGGGAGUUUUCUCAAAAAUAACAGUGCUGUCAAGCCCAACACAAGAAGUUGAAUUUUACCUGCAAGAAGACUUACGGCAGUUCUGCUCUGUGUUAGGUCUGCAUUUGGAAUUUCAAGUUUUGUUUUGCUUCUGGAGUCCUCAGUCUUGCAUAGUCCCAUUAUGACAGUGGUGGGCAAUGCAGGUUUUAGCGAGAAUGAGUUCCUGUCCUUGGGCAGCUGCACCGCUCAUGUGCAUUUUUAGCAAAGACUGUCUGCAGGGUGCAGGUUAGCUGGUGGAGCUAACAGCAGCAACUUUUUGGAAAGCAGCACUGAACUUGCCACAGGCACAACCCAGCAGCAUUUUCCUGAGCCAGGCACUGGGACUGUGUGUGGAAAGCUCUGUUUGAUGAAAUCUGGGGCAGCUGAAGGGCAGACAGGCUAUUCUAGUGCUUGCCUGUCUGCUGGAAAAGGUGAAGGUGUACCUGUGCAACGUGGGGAAAUACCGGUGCACGCCGAGACUUCCCUAAGAGCUCUGAUUAGAAGAUGCAAAUGUGAAGCUUUAAAAAAUUUAAUUUAUCAACAGAAGGAAAACUAGUAAUGAGCUGAACAACUUUCACGUUUCUAUCUUUCACCUUUCUAGAUACUUUAGCAGCUGAAGAUUUAAAAUUAAUCUAGAUGAUGUUGGGGCAAUCUAACAGCCUCAUUAAUUUGAGGCUGUUAAAGUCUUCUUGAACAAUCUGUGGUACUCUUUGGGAGGAGGAGUGUCUUCAAAUUAGUUUAACCUUCACUUUAUUAUUGUUACUGGUUGAAUUAAUUGCUGUCUUUAUCAGGGAUCACAAACCCUCCACAAAUCUGAUUGUAUUGACUUAUAUGUUUUCAUUUCUUGAAAGGUGAAGAUGUAUAAAAAAAUAAAGGAACUUUGGUGGCAGUUUGUUAGAGUAAGGAAUCAAAACUGUAUUUUCAGCACAUCUUAGUAAUAUACGUGAAUCUGUAGAACAUAUCUGAAAUUUAUAUGUUUGCUCUUGUUCCACUUGUCUUCUCCUCUCUCUUCCCAAUCAUUGUUUCAAAAAUGUCAGAGGAACCACAACUGAGCAUAUCUCCUGUUCCCACCUGUGCUUUGGGAUGCAAAAUAAUGAUGUUAGCACACAGAGACCUUGACUUCCUCUUGGAUGCAUCUGAACGAUUUUACUAGGGAGUCCGCUGUGCCUGUGAUCAGUCUGAAAGCAGCUGAUGGUGGGCAUCACCACAGUAUGGUACUGGGCUGCUGAUCAAUUUUGUGUCUUUCAGGAGACUUGAAAAACGAGAUUCAUCAGGCAUCACUCUCUUAAACCACAGCCUCACCAUGAGAACAUUAGGGCAGCCACGACUGUGCAAAGUAUCUUCACCAGCAAUCUCUUGCUCUCUGACAAAUCUUUUGUCCUUGAAGACCAGAAAGAUUGUUAUUGAGCCUUCCACAAAGCUGAAAUAAUGCUGUGUGUUAAAAAAAUGUUAACAAUUUGAAGAAGUUAUAAAAAUUUAUAAGUUGACUGAAUACUUUGGAAAUUUCUGCAUAUUUUAAUAUAAAUAGGAGAAUGAAUGCUGAUACUCCAAGACAACUUCUACACAAGCAAGUAAAGCAGCAACUAGGAGUGGACCUGGCGAGUUGCAGCUCUAGCAAGGCCCCCUGGACUGCACGCUGUGUGCAGCUGCUGUGCAUUGCCUGUGCUGCCGGGGCACCUCUUCCAGCUUAGUUUUGUCUGAGAGGGAUCUGGUCUGUGAUGCAAAGCAAAGCAUGAUGCUGGCAGCAUGUGGAGCUGACAGCAGUGAAAGCUCAGAGGAGUACAGCACAUGAAGAGGUCACCGGGAGCUGUAGUGCAGGGUUUGAGACCAAAGAUGGAAACCUAUUACAGCUUACCUCUGUGAAAACACAGCAUUACUCCCUUCACACCCUGUGUCUUCUUGUUGUUCAGCAGAAAUACUGGGCAGGAUGAAAAGGGAAGAUAAAUUAUUUCAGCUAAGUGAAUAACUCACACAGAAGACUUUUUCCACACUACCCAACCUUCUCUUCUACUUGCAUCAUGUUGGUGAUGCAAUUGCUGUUCUCUGCUAUUUAUGUACCUUUCAAAAUUUCUAUUACUUUUUUUACUCUGUGGAUUGAUAUGAAACAGUGUUUUGUGAGCUAUCAUUAAUCCUGGUGUUGGCUUAGUGGGGUUUGGGUGCUCUUACUGUGUUGUUGGUGCUUUCUGUUUGGAUGAAAGCACAGACACUUCCAAAAUAAAUGCUGCUAAGCUGAUAGAAACCAGUUUCCCUGAAGAUUGUUCUGUGAAGCUGAAACACUGGCUUUCUUUAAGUGCAUUUGCUGGUACAACUCAAUUGCACACAUGUUUGCAGAUGGUACAAAGAAGAGUGGCAGAAAGAAAGCUCAAGGUAAUGGAGUGGAGGAAAUGGUCUGCAGUAUAGUCUUAAAGGGUGCUGAGCUCUUUCUGUGCUCAGAGAUGCUGAUUGUGCAGAAUCUUCAUGUGCAUCAAAGGUGAAACUUAUACUUAGGCAAGUGCUGGAAGGAUCACUGCUCUGUGACCUGCGUCUCUCAGAUAUUUUUUUCAGUCUUGUACCUGUUAGCAAGUGGUUCCUGUUCUUUAGACUGCUGUUACCUCCUCCAACAGAUAACGACGGUAUGGAAUACUGUCGUGUAUGUGAUGACUGUUCACUGUGGCUAGUUUCUUCUGGUGAUGUCAAAAGUUAUUUUAUGCCUUUUUGCUUCCCUCACUGAUUUUAGGGUUCAAACUUCUAAUUGUUAACUGAGUGUCUUUUUCAUGCUUUGCAAAAUCAGGGAUUUCAUUGAAGGAGAGUGUUCCAAGCUGCUCUUGAGAAACCUCAUGUUUGCAUCAGGUGACAGAGAAUAUUAGUAAAUCGACUUCUUGAAAAGGAACCUUCAGGAUACCAUGCUGUCACUGUGUUAGAGUGGUAAGGCCACAGGCGGAACCCAGCUGACACUGCUGCAGUGAGUGCCUGAGCCAGCACAGCAGAACAGCACAGGCAGCUGUUACAGCAGUGCAAGGUCCCAGAUUAGCCAAGGCAUAAAUGCUUUGCUCUAUUACAGUCUCACUGCAGCUUCCAGGGAGACAGCAUGGGCCUCAUGCGGUUCA